UACGUAGGGGGCAAGCGUUGUUCGGAAUUACUGGGCGUAAAGCGCACGUAGGCGGCCAACUAAGUCAGACGUGAAAUCCCUCGGCUUAACCGGGGAACUGCGUCUGAUACUGGAUGGCUUGAGUUUGGGAGAGGGAUGCGGAAUUCCAGGUGUAGCGGUGAAAUGCGUAGAUAUCGGGAGGAACACCUGUGGCGAAAGCGGCUCACUGGACAGUAACUGACGCUGAUGCACGAAAGCUAGGGGAGCAAACAGG
rnacentral:rRNA from 1 species